rfam:Schistosoma margrebowiei strain Zambia genome assembly, scaffold: SMRZ_scaffold0002112
AUUCAGCUGUCCGAAAUAGGACGACACGCGCGUCCUGGAU